AUUGAACGCUGGCGGUAUGCUUAACACAUGCAAGUCGAACGGUAGCAGGCCUUCGGGCGCUGACGAGUGGCGGACGGGUGAGUAACGCGUAGGAAUCUGCCUCAUAGUGGGGGACAACGUGGGGAAACUCACGCUAAUACCGCAUACGCCCUACGGGGGAAAGCGGGGGCUCUUCGGACCUCGCGCUAUGAGAUGAGCCUGCGUUAGAUUAGCUAGUUGGUAGGGUAAAAGCCUACCAAGGCGACGAUCUAUAGCUGGUCUGAGAGGACGAUCAGCCACACUGGGACGGAGACACGGCCCAGACGCCUACGGGAGGCAGCAGUGGGGAAUAUUGGACAAUGGGCGCAAGCCUGAUCCAGCAAUACCGCGUGUGUGAAGAAGGCCCUAGGGUUGUAAAGCACUUUCAAUUGGGAGGAAAACCUGCCGGUCAAUACCCGGCAGCUUGACAUUACCUUUAGAAGAAGCACCGGCUAACUCCGUGCCAGCCGCCGCAGUAAAAC
rnacentral:rRNA from 1 species